rnacentral:rRNA from 1 species
CCUACGGGUGGCAGCAGUGAGGAAUAUUGGUCAAUGGACGAGAGUCUGAACCAGCCAAGUAGCGUGAAGGAUGACUGCCCUAUGGGUUGUAAACUUCUUUUAUAUGGGAAUAAAACGUUCCACGUGUGGGAUUUUGUAUGUACCAUAUGAAUAAGGAUCGGCUAACUCCGUGCCAGCAGCCGCGGUAAUACGGAGGAUCCGAGCGUUAUCCGGAUUUAUUGGGUUUAAAGGGAGCGUAGGUGGAAUGUUAAGUCAGUUGUGAAAGUUUGCGGCUCAACCGUAAAAUUGCAGUUGAAACUGGCAGUCUUGAGUACAGUAGAGGUGGGCGGAAUUCGUGGUGUAGCGGUGAAAUGCUUAGAUAUCACGAAGAACUCCGAUUGCGAAGGCAGUUCACUGGACUGCAACUGACACUGAGGCUCGAAAGUGUGGGUAUCAAACAGGAUUAGAUACCCUAGUAGUC